UACAGAGGUCCCAAGCGUUGUUCGGAUUUACUGGGCGUAAAGCGCACGUAGGCGGAUCGUUAAGUCAGGGGUGAAAUCCUGGAGCUCAACUCCAGAACUGCCUUUGAUACUGGAGAGCUUGAGUCCGGAAGAGGUGAGUGGAACUCCGAGUGUAGAGGUGAAAUUCGUAGAUAUUCGGAAGAACACCAGUGGCGAAGGCGGCUCACUGGUCCGGUACUGACGCUGAGGUGCGAAAGCGUGGGAGCAAACAGG
rnacentral:rRNA from 1 species